rnacentral:rRNA from 1 species
GCCAGCGGGUGCUAAUACUGCAGUCGAGCGGACAGAAUGGGAGCUUGCUCCCUGAUGUUAGCGGCGGACGGGUGAGUAACACGUGGGUAACCUGCCUGUAAGACUGGGAUAACUCCGGGAAACCGGGGCUAAUACCGGAUGGUUGUUUGAACCGCAUGGUUCAGACAUAAAAGGUGGCUUCGGCUACCACUUACAGAUGGACCCGCGGCGCAUUAGCUAGUUGGUGAGGUAACGGCUCACCAAGGCGACGAUGCGUAGCCGACCUGAGAGGGUGAUCGGCCACACUGGGACUGAGACACGGCCCAGACUCCUACGGGAGGCAGCAGUAGGGAAUCUUCCGCAAUGGACGAAAGUCUGACGGAGCAACGCCGCGUGAGUGAUGAAGGUUUUCGGAUCGUAAAGCUCUGUUGUUAGGGAAGAACAAGUGCCGUUCAAAUAGGGCGGCACCUUGACGGUACCUAACCAGAAAGCCACGGCUAACUACGUGCCAGCAGCCGCGGUAAUACGUAGGUGGCAAGCGUUGUCCGGAAUUAUUGGGCGUAAAGGGCUCGCAGGCGGUUUCUUAAGUCUGAUGUGAAAGCCCCCGGCUCAACCGGGGAGGGUCAUUGGAAACUGGGGAACUUGAGUGCAGAAGAGGAGAGUGGAAUUCCACGUGUAGCGGUGAAAUGCGUAAAGAUGUGGAGGAACACCAGUGGCGAAGGCGACUCUCUGGUCUGUAACUGACGCUGAGGAGCGAAAGCGUGGGGAGCGAACAGGAUUAGAUACCCUGGUAGUCCACGCCGUAAACGAUGAGUGCUAAGUGUUAGGGGGUUUCCGCCCCUUAGUGCUGCAGCUAACGCAUUAAGCACUCCGCCUGGGGAGUACGGUCGCAAGACUGAAACUCAAAGGAAUUGACGGGGGCCCGCACAAGCGGUGGAACAUGUGGUUUAAUUCGAAGCAACGCGAAGA